UGUACAAUCACCAGCGCCAGAUACAGAGGGAAAAAAAGUGCUAGGAAAUAAUUGGAAAAUGUCAACUGACAAAAGCAGAUUGCCUUCAGCAUGGGAUAUGAUGCAGCAAUAGCUGAUCACAUAAAGCCAGUCACUUAGCAGAACAAGCCCUUUUCAUUGGAAUAAAACGUCAUCUAUCAGUAUACUUGGAGGACUGCAAUAUACUUGUAAAUGGUUUCCGCUAAUGUUCAACCAAAGGCAA
rnacentral:lncRNA from 1 species